UACAGAGGUCUCAAGCGUUGUUCGGAUUCAUUGGGCGUAAAGGGUGCGUAGGCGGCGCGGUAAGUCGGAUGUGAAAUCUCGGGGCUUAACUCCGAAACUGCAUUCGAUACUGCCGUGCUUGAGGACUGGAGAGGAGACUGGAAUUUACGGUGUAGCGGUGAAAUGCGUAGAUAUCAGGAAGAACACCCGUGGCUAAGGCGGCUCUCUAGUACGGUACUGACGCUGAGACGCGAAAGCGUGGGGAGCGAACAGG
rnacentral:rRNA from 1 species